rnacentral:rRNA from 1 species
GACGACAAGACCCUAAAAGCUUUAUAAUAAUUAUUUUUUAUUAGUUUGUUUUUAUCAAAUAAAAAAUAAUGGUUUUUUAACUGGGGUAGUGGUAAUAUGUAAAUUAUUAUUUUAAUAAACUAUAUGUGAUUAAAUGACUCUUUUUAUUAAGGUUGUUUGUUUAAGUUACUUUAGGGAUAACAGCGUAAUAAAUAUAAGGAGAUCUUAUCUAUGUAUUUGAUUGCGACCUCGAUGUUGAAUUAAUAAUCUUUAUGGGGCAGAAAACUUAAGGAGAGAGUUUGUUCAACUUUUAAAUAAUUACAUGAUCUGAGU